UGGGGAAUUUUGCACAAUGGGGGAAACCCUGAUGCAGCGACGCCGCGUGAUUUAGAAGGCCUUCGGGUUGUAAAAAUCUUUUCUAUGGGAAGAAAAUGACAGUACUAUAGGAAUAAGGACCGGCUAAUUACGUGCCAGCAGCCGCGGUAAUACGUAAGGUCCGAGCGUUGUGCGGAAUCAUUGGGCGUAAAGGGUACGUAGGCGGGUAAGCAAGUUAGAAGUGAAAUCCUAUAGCUCAACUAUAGUAAGCUUUUAAAACUGCUCAUCUUGAGGUAUGGAAGGGAAAGUGGAAUUCCUAGUGUAGCGGUGAAAUGCGCAGAUAUUAGGAGGAAUACCGGUGGCGAAGGCGACUUUCUGGCCAUAACCUGACGCUGAGGUACGAAAGCGUGGGUAGCAAACAGG
rnacentral:rRNA from 1 species